UAAUACGGAGGGUGCAAGCGUUGUCCGGAUUUAUUGGGUUUAAAGGGUGCGUAGGUGGCCCUGUAAGUCCGUGGUGAAAGCCUCUCGCUUAACGAGAGAACUGCCAUGGAUACUGCAGGGCUUGAGUCCAGACGAGGUUGGCGGAAUGGAUGGUGUAGCGGUGAAAUGCAUAGAUACCAUCCAGAACCCCGAUUGCGUAGGCAGCUGACUAGGCUGGUACUGACACUGAGGCACGAAAGCGUGGGGAGCGAACAGGAUUAGAUACCCUGGUAGUCCACGCCGUAAACGAUGGAUACUCGUUGCUAGCGAUAUACAGUUAGUGACUUAGCGAAAGCGUUAAGUAUCCCACCUGGGGAGUACGCCCGCAAGGGUG
rnacentral:rRNA from 1 species